GCUGGUGUACGUGAUGACGAGACUUUUUUCCCCAUCAGAUCGACCAUGUUGAUCUCAGUUACUCUUUGCCAGUUAUUUUCUGAUACACCAGC